rnacentral:rRNA from 1 species
CGGAUCGCAGGCUGCAACCCGCCUGCGUGAAGCCGGAAUUGCUAGUAAUCGCGGAUCAGCAUGCCGCGGUGAAUACGUUCCCGGGCCUUGUACACACCGCCCGUCAAGCCAUGGAAGCCGGGGGUGCCUAAAGUGCGUGACCGCAAGGGACGCCCUAGGGUAAAACCGGUGACUGGGGCUAAGUCGUAACAAGGUAAC